UACGUAGGGGGCAAGCGUUGUCCGGAAUCAUUGGGCGUAAAGAGCGUGUAGGCGGUCCGUUAAGUCGGCUGUGAAAGUCCAAGGCUCAACCUUGGGAUGCCGGUCGAUACUGCCGGACUAGAGUUCGGAAGAGGCGAGUGGAAUUCCCGGUGUAGCGGUGAAAUGCGCAGAUAUCGGGAGGAACACCUAUGGCGAAGGCAGCUCGCUGGGACGGUACUGACGCUGGAGACGCGAAAGCGUGGGGAGCAAACAGG
rnacentral:rRNA from 1 species